ACGCCUGCCCAGUGAACAAUUAAACGGCCGCGGUACCCUAACCGUGCAAAGGUAGCAUAAUCAUUUGUCUACUAAUUAUAGACCUGUAUGAAAGGCAAAAUGAGGGCCCAACUGUCUCUUAUAGUUAAUCAAUUAAACUGAUCUCCUAGUAAAAAAGCUAGUAUAUAAACAUAAGACCAGAAGACCCUGUGAAGCUUAAACUAAACUAUUAAACCAAAUAAUAGCUAAUUUCGGUUGGGGCGACCUUGGAAAAAAAAAGAACUUCCAAACAACUAUAAAACUAGGCCCACAAGCCAAAUUACGACCCAGUAAAACUGAAAAUUGAAACAAGUUACUCCAGGGAUAACAGCGCAAUCUUCUUCAAGAGCCCAUAUCAAAAAGAAGGUUUACGACCUCGAUGUUGGAUCAGGACAUCCUAAUGGUGCAGAAGCUAUUAAGGGUUCGUUUGUUCAACGAUUAACAGUCCUACGUGAUCUGAGUUCA
rnacentral:rRNA from 1 species